rnacentral:hammerhead_ribozyme from 1 species
AUCCAGUUGACGAGUCCCAAAUAGGACGGAACGCGCGUCACACUGGAU